rnacentral:rRNA from 1 species
CGUGGGUAACUUGCCCAAGAGAUCGGGAUAACACCUGGAAACAGAUGCUAAUACCGGAUAACAACAGAUGAUGCCUAUCAACUGUUUAAAAGAUGGUUCUGCUAUCACUCUUGGAUGGACCUGCGGUGCAUUAGCUAGUUGGUAGGGUAACGGCCUACCAAGGCGAUGAUGCAUAGCCGAGUUGAGAGACUGAUCGGCCACAUUGGGACUGAGACACGGCCCAAACUCCUACGGGAGGCAGCAGUA